rnacentral:rRNA from 1 species
GAAUUUUGGUCAAUGGGCGAAAGCCUCAUCCAGCAACGCCGCGUGCAGGAGGAAGGACUCCGGGUUGUAAACUGCUUUUGUACGGAACGAAAAGCCUUGGUGUAAUGCCCUGUAGUAAUGACCGUACCGUAAGUACAUGCAACGACCAGCUAUCUGCCCGCAGCCGCCGUAAUACGUAGGGUGGAAGCGUCAGUCGGAAUUACUGGGCUUAGAGCAUGGGCAGGCGGUUUUGUAGGACAGAGGUGAAAUCCCCGGGCUCAGCCUGGGAACUGCCUUUGUGACUGCAAGGCUAGAGUACGGCAGAGGGGGGUGGAAUUCCGCGUGUAGCAGUGAAAUGCGUAGAUAUGCGGAGGAACACCGAUGGCGAAGGCAACCCCCUGGGCCUGUACUGACGCUCAUGCGCGAAGGCGUGGGGAGCAAACA